rnacentral:lncRNA from 1 species
AUGCACUUUUCCCUCGACUUCCAGCACAUGCUUCUCAGGUCGACUUUACCUGCAGUGCUGAGCUACUGUGACAGCAUGGCUUUUGUGACUUGCGUCGAGCAGGAAGCUUUCAAAGCCACGUGCCAAAGAAAUGAGAAGAACCGAGAGCUGCGUGCAGAUUCCUCCAGGAAUGCGAUGAGAAGGGCUGCACCAUCCCUGUCCUGCUGCGGGAAGGGAGGCACUUCUCUCUCCUUUCCCACUUUCUAUAAAACACCACUUACUAUAAAAGGACAGCUGGAUCCGUGCCGCUCCUUCUGUGCCUCAGGCUCCAUUUUUUAAAACUUUUUUUUCUUUUUUUUCUGCCCUCACCUUCCCCAUCACCAACAAGCGCUGCGUUUUUCCGCCGUUAAACAGUUCGGCCAUCCGGAGGGGACACCUCGGAGCUCAGACGGGCCGGGUGCGGGCUCCCCAAAAGCGGCAGCCUCGUUAACUCCGCACGGCGCUGCUUGUCGGCGCAGAGCAGGACGCGGGGGCUGCCGCGGGGCCGGGGGGGCAGCGCUGCCCGCAGCCGCGUUCCCGACCCGGGGCCGGCCUUAGCGGUGGGGCGGAAGGGAAGCGUUGCGAGCUCGAAACGAAAGCUUUAGGAACUCGCGGCCGAGGCCUUCACGGCCACCGGGGAAAACCGCGUGUGACUAGCAGGACCUGCGAGGCGGCAUUUCUGGAGAGAGCCGGGAGCGAAGAGCUAAAAUAUAUUUAAAGAAUUGAAGUAUUGGGCACGGUCGCAGGGACGGCCUUUUUCAAGCCGCGUACGAGAAGGGACGGCCGUAACGUAGCCGCGUACGCAACUGGGGCGAUCAAAAAGCAAAACAGACGCGGGGAAACGAGAAGCGAGCGGGCGACGUCUGUGCCAACCCGCGAGGGCCCUUUGCUGACCGCGCCCGGAGCGCUGCGGCACGGCGGCUGGCUCAGCCCACGGCCCUGCACGGCGCCGUCCCGCUGCCCCGAGCCGCAGCCGCAGCGCGGAGAGGCUUCGACCCCUCUGAGCCCCGCUGCCGGGGCGCUUAGCGAGGGGGAGAUGCGUACAGAAUGUACCGAGAAUUCAGGCGAGGGGCGAAACGCUCGCUCGCUGGAGCGGAGGAAACGGAGCGGAGCUACAACCUAGCAGGACAAAGGAGACACUAUUGACUCAUUCCAGACUGCCGACUUAGCAGCUCAACUUUGUUUCCUUUUAACUUUAGUAACAGUAGGAGCUCAGAGCUCCCCGCUCGAUUUUCUGCGCAAAUAGAAACACCUGGACUUCAAAACAGCAACGCUCUUUGAAGCCACCCCGAGCCAUUAA